rnacentral:rRNA from 1 species
GGGUUGUGAGGUUAAGCGACUAAGCGUACACGGUGGAUGCCCUGGCAGUCAGAGGCGAUGAAGGGCGUGCUAAUCUGCGAUAAGCGCCGGUAAGGUGAUAUGAACCGUUAUAACCGGCGAUACCCGAAUGGGGAAACCCAGUGUGAUUCGUCACACUAUCAUUAACUGAAUCCAUAGGUUAAUGAGGCGAACCGGGGGAACUGAAACAUCUAAGUACCCCGAGGAAAAGAAAUCAACCGAGAUUCCCCCAGUAGCGGCGAGCGAACGGGGAGGAGCCCAGAGCCUGAAUCAGCAUGUGUGUUAGUGGAAGCGUCUGGAAAGGCGCGCGAUACAGGGUGACAGCCCCGUACACAAAAGCGCAUGUGCUGUGAGCUCGAUGAGUAGGGCGGGACACGUGGUAUCCUGUCUGAAUAUGGGGGGACCAUCCUCCAAGGCUAAAUACUCCUGACUGACCGAUAGUGAACCAGUACCGUGAGGGAAAGGCGAAAAGAACCCCGGCGAGGGGAGUGAAAAAGAACCUGAAACCGUGUACGUACAAGCAGUGGGAGCACAGGUUUACCUGUGUGACUGCGUACCUUUUGUAUAAUGGGUCAGCGACUUAUAUUCUGUAGCAAGGUUAACCGAAUAGGGGAGCCGGAGGGAAACCGAGUCUUAAUUGGGCGUUAAGUUGCAGGGUAUAGACCCGAAACCCGGUGAUCUAGCCAUGGGCAGGUUGAAGGUUGGGUAACACUAACUGGAGGACCGAACCGACUAAUGUUGAAAAAUUAGCGGAUGACCUGUGGCUGGGGGUGAAAGGCCAAUCAAACCGGGAGAUAGCUGGUUCUCCCCGAAAGCUAUUUAGGUAGCGCCUCGUGAAUUCAUCUCCGGGGGUAGAGCACUGUUUCGGCUAGGGGGCCAUCCCGGCUUACCAACCCGAUGCAAACUGCGAAUACCGGAGAAUGUUAUCACGGGAGACACACGGCGGGUGCUAACGUCCGUCGUGAAGAGGGAAACAACCCAGACCGCCAGCUAAGGUCCCAAAGUCAUGGUUAAGUGGGAAACGAUGUGGGAAGGCCCAGACAGCCAGGAUGUUGGCUUAGAAGCAGCCAUCAUUUAAAGAAAGCGUAAUAGCUCACUGGUCGAGUCGGCCUGCGCGGAAGAUGUAACGGGGCUAAACCAUGCACCGAAGCUGCGGCAGCGACACUGUGUGUUGUUGGGUAGGGGAGCGUUCUGUAAGCCUGUGAAGGUGGCCUGUGAGGGUUGCUGGAGGUAUCAGAAGUGCGAAUGCUGACAUAAGUAACGAUAAAGCGGGUGAAAAGCCCGCUCGCCGGAAGACCAAGGGUUCCUGUCCAACGUUAAUCGGGGCAGG